rnacentral:rRNA from 1 species
UACGGAAGAUGCAAGCGUUAUCCGGAUUUAUUGGGUUUAAAGGGUGCGCAGGUUGUUUGAUUAGUCAGUGGUGAAAGUCUGUCGCUUAACGGUAGGAUUGCCAUUGAUACUGUUGGACUUGAAUAUGGAUGAGGUAGGCGGAAUGUGUAGUGUAGCGGUGAAAUGCAUAGAUAUUACACAGAACACCGAUUGCGAAGGCAGCUUACUAAUCCAUCAUUGACGCUGAGGCACGAAAGCGUGGGGAGUCAAACAGGA